UCAGGUCAUAGAGAAAGCUGUAGGAAGAACAUCACUUCCGAGACUUAGCUUGCUAACCUAUGACAGUGUCUGUAAAUGGUUUCCAGGAUUAGUGGCUCCAUCACCUUCCCAGACUGAGAUAGGGCUAACCUGACUGUAGUUCCCUACGUCUUCCUUUUUCUCUUUCUUGAAAAUAAGAGUGACAUUUGAUUUCUUCUAGUCUUCAGGAACCUGUGCUGACUGUUGUGACCUUCCAAAGGUAAGUAAGAGUGUCUUUGCAAAGGCACUUAGCACUUGUGGGAACAUUCCAUCAGGCACCAUGGACUUAGGUGUGUGCAAUUUAAGUGCUCACUAGCUUGAUCCUCCUCCGCCAAAGGCUAAGUCUUUCUUAUUCCAAACUUUCCAUCUGGUCUCAGGGGCCUGGGACACCUGAAGGCCAUUCUUACGGGUGAAUGCUGAGGCAAAGGAAAUACUGAGUACCUCAGGUUUUUCCAUGUCAUACAUCACCAGUUUCCCUGCCCCAUCCAGCAGCUUUCCCUAGUCUUUCUUUUGCCACUGCUGUAUUUGUAGAAUCCUUUCUUGUUCCCCUUUACAUCAUUUGCCAAAUUCAAUUCUAGCUGUGUUACUGCUUUCCUAAGCACAUUCCUGCAUGGUUGAAUAGCAGCUCCACACUCCUCCUGGAUCACCUGCCCCUGAUUCCACCUCUUUUAUACUUCAUUUUUAUGCCUGAUUAAAGUCAGCAGUUUUUUGCUUAUUCAUGAGGUACUCCUGCUGCCUCUACUUGGUUUUCUAGGUGUCAGGCUGGACCUUCCUUCAACUUGGAGAAGAUUCUUGAAUAUCAACUAGCAUUCCUGGACACUUCUCUCCAGUGUUGUAUCCAAUGUGGUGCUUCCAAGCAAGAUCUCUGAAGAACUUUAAAGUCUGCUCUCCUGAAGUCCAGGGUUGAGGUCCUGCCUUUUGCCCUGCUGCCUUCUCUCAGGAGUCUGAAUGCCACUGGCUCAUGGUCACUGCAGCCAAGGUUGCCCUGACCUUUCCAUCCACAAGGUCCUUGUUAGCUGCCCAAUCACACAUGUCAGAAGGUUGCUGCCAACUCACUCCUGAAACCUUCUAGACUGGUUGUGAGAAAUUCUUAGAUUCCACAAUACAAAGACAAAAGGCAGGCUGACUGAAGUUAACAUCUGCGGUCACAUGUACUACAACCUAUUUUUCAAAUAGUUGAGGAGGACAGAAAGUCCAUAGCAAGAUGUUAUAUACUCAAAUCACAUAGAAACUUUAGCAAAAAAGGUGUUCAGAGCCUGUGGAACUAUAACCCCAUCACUGUGGAGGUAUUUGUGCUCAUUUUUAAGGUCCAGAUGCAUUAGAGGAGUAUCUCAAAGGAUGCUGAACAUGUGCACUCUAAUUCAAGAAAAUUUAAGACAUAAAAGUAUCUCAGUGUUCUGACCUAGCUGUCAGGAAAAUGCCAGCUUUCCUGGAACCAGUCUGUGAUUGUAGAAUCUGAUUUCUAAAACUCAGUACAUUUAACCCAAAGGUUCUGAGAAUCUCUGCUUGUCAGGAUUUCAAUUUAUGUCUUGGACAUAUCAAAUGAGGACAAUAAAAUUAGGUUUUCUGGGCUGUUGUAGGAAUUUUUAGUGACUGAAAUGCAAAGGAAGGCAAAAGAAAAAUAUGAAGGAGGAUGUGCAAGAUCACCUGGUUUUCCCUCCUUCUUCCAUAUUCAUGUCUUUUUUUCAAGAGAACAUACUGAGGGGAUGAAGAAAUGUUGCUCUGCUUGCUAGGAUUCUAACAGAGAAGAGAAAUUUAUAACUCACACACAGAGACAGACUGUGUUCACUGUCAGGCGUCCCUCCGGACACAUACAGUAUCCUCUUCGGUGGCUCUCCAGGAAGCUGCCUGUACCAGUGCACGAUGGCUGUGGCCUCCAGUUGACAUGACAUGCUGGCAGACAUGCCCUUCAUCUGCUUCUGCAGCUCUGGAGUUUGCACUGGCAUUGACUGCAUGUCUACACCUGGAAGUGAAAGCAGAGAAAUUGCAUGAGGGGAGAAACUCCUGGAGUUUGGAAUCAGGCCUGUGUUCACUGUAGAUGGGAAGGAGAGAGGAGAGGAAAAAGGGCUUACAGGACCAAAAUAAAAUUGCAAGAAGGACUGGAAACAGCAACAUACUGCCUGUGCAGAUUAGACCUGAAAAUGAAAUAAACAGAGACAGAAAUGCUAUAAAACUCUUCAGGUGGACAAGCCAUCAAAUGACUGGGAGGAGGAAAUUACUCAUUCAGCACAUCCAAUGGUUAUUCUUCAACUCACUACCACAGAGGGUGUUAAAUUUACUGAUAAGCUAGACCACAGCAGAAACAGCGUAGAAAGGACAAAAAAUACUCAAUCUGAAAAAAAAUCUUCUUCAUCUGUCUACCUACUACACUUAUAUCAGACUUACCUACUGAGCACACAUAUAAAAAGCUCAAGUUUUUCAGCCUGGCCCUUACCAAGGAUGUUCUCCUUAGAUACAUCAAAGCUGUCCCAGAAGCAUGUUCCGCCAGCCCUUCCUUAGAACUUCAGAGAAUCAUAGAAUAAUAGAAUGCUUUGGGUUAGGAGGUGUGGGAUAUGCCCAGCCCCUGCCCUGGAGGGAUGUCUGCUGAGAUAAAAGAUUUUGCAAUCACCCAGCAGGACUCCCUGGAAAGGAAACGACUUUUGGGUCAUGGCGAGGAAAAGUAGACCCACAAUCCUUUGGGGGGCCCUAUGCAGAUCAUUCUGUAACCCGUUGGUCUAUCCCAGACCCUCUGUAAUCCAUUGGUCCCCUUGCUGAUCCCCUGUAUCCCUAUAAAAGAAGACCAAUUCGCCUCUGUGGGGAAGAGAGCUCGUCCCUGGCUCCUCCCUUCGCCGGAGGGGACCCACAAUAAAGCUACCUUCGUGCGGAACCAGC